CGAAGUCGAGGUCGGGGUUCUGUGUCAAACCCGAGAGGUAGAUCUGCAGCUGGAGCUAGUGCACAAAAUCAACUGGACAGAAUCGUUAAUGCCUUGCCCAUUUCUCAACUACAUCAAAAUCAGCUCACUGAAGAAGAAGAAGAGAAGCAGAGAGAGAUCAAUCACAAGAUGACAGUAAUGCUGCCAAUAAUAACACAGAUGAAUCUAUGAUGGAACAGACCAUCAGUUCUGAUGUUCAGGAGGAACCACCAGGCCAGCCAAUUUCAUCUUUCGUGAUAUCAAACUGGGUUCCUGCGUGGAGACGCAAAUUUUCUAUGAUUGGCGACAGGAUUCGUCAACUGGCAAAAUAUAUGCGAAAUGCGAACUUUGCAAAAGCUGUCAUACCAAUCGCCACCUUACAGGAAAUCUGUCUUCGUUUACCAACUUCACUAAACAUCUAAAAGGUGUCCAUUUAGAAGAAUGGAAAGCUUACGAAGACCAGCAGUCGAAAAAGAAAGGCGACCUAGACAGCAAUCCAUCAAGGAGUAUGGCACGGGUAAAUCAAUUCAUAAGUCCAGGCAGCAGCAACUCGACAUACAGUUAACGUAUUCCAUGGCCGAGGACAACAUUCCCCUCAACAUUCUGAAAAGACCUCGAUUCAAGGAAUGGAUUCAGAACGGCAUGGUAGGAUACCAGCUUCCUUCUAUGGAAAAGAUGCGAAAUUCUAUGUUGCCUAAGAUUGCUGCCGCUACUAAAGAAAAGGCCCUUCAGUUGCUGAAGACAUGUACUUCAUUCAAUAUUAUUCUUGACAUUUGGUCAUCUAAACAAAUGAUGGGAUACAUCAUAAUAAACUUUUGUUAAUUGGUUUAUUA